AUAGGAGUCACUUGGAAAUCUUGCUAAAAUUCCAAUUCUGAUUCAGUAGGUCUGGGGUGGGGACCAAGAAUUUGCAUUUCUAAUAAAUUCCCAGGUGCAGCUGUU
rnacentral:pre_miRNA from 1 species